AGGAAGUCGUUAAUUCGCCGUAAAAACUAAGGACUUACAGUAUAAACACCGUAAAAUAAUCAUAACUAAUUAUUUAGCAAAUAAAACAAUAAGAAUAUAAAGCGGCCGCGCUGAGGGGUGGCCCCUACCAUAAUUGAAUUCCUUUGAUACACCUAGGGCUGUCAAAAACACAUCUCUGAAGCUGUUUAAUGAAAAUAUUGCUUUAAAAGCUUCCAUUUACUUAAGGGAGGGAACAAUUAUUUAAAGUUAUAUAUUAAAAGAUAGCGUUACAACAGUUUUAUAUAUUUAUAUUAAUAUUUAUUUGGUUUAAUGUAUGUUCGCGCCGAUACGCCUUUCAAAUAAUUAUAGCAAUGUGCAUCCAAUCAAUUAGCCAAUGAGCGAUGACGUGAAGUUGCAACCACCGACAUUGCACUUGCAUUUUUGUGACCUUUAAAUUAUAAUUCAGUUCGUCUCUGUAACUUGCCCGAUUAAACGCGGUCACACUGCAUCUGAAGUUUUAGCUCAAUCUCCAAUAACCAACUACUCCGCUACAAGACUUUCACUAAUCAGCUUCGAGCCGAAUCGGCGAUUUUGGAUUUAUUGCAAAGAUUAUUAUUUUACCAAAAUCAAAGGAAAUUACGGAGAUUUGAAGAGGACAUUAGUUCGGACGUCUGGAGGUCACCUUGAGAACAAAGGACACGGACAUACUCGGCACAGCACAGUGUUUAAUGAGUUUUAAUUAUUUUAUUUUAUUUUGUUGUGUUGUUUAGUUUUCUUCAAGUUGGUUAUUUUUCAGAUUCACGCCUAUUCCCGUUUAAUAUGUCCGAGGAAAGGGAACUUAUUGAGAUAAGGGCAAGUUAUGAAGAACGUCUUACAGCGUUCAGUAAUUACCAACCAACCAUGAUUACCGUCCCAGGUUAGCGAAUUAAAGAUUCAAGUAAGUAAUUUUGAUAUCUUAUACGACACUUACAAUGAGGUUCAGUUAAAGAUAGAAUGUUUAGCGGAUGAUAUCGAUAGUCAAAUUAAUGAGAGAAUUCAAUUUGAGUAUGUGUAUUUUAGAGUAGUCGCACAGGCGAAAGAUUUCAUAUUACGCUACGACAAUAUAAGCGCAAUCAAUUGUAUUGACGGGUGCAAUAAAAACUUUUCUACUUCGUCGUGGGCACUGCCGUACCCCUUUAUUGAAGUACCAUCCAUACAUUUGAUAAAAUUUAGCGGCUUAUCUAACAAUUGGUUACAAUUUCGCGACACUGUUAAGUUUAAUUCAUUUUAAUAACGAUAUCGAUGACCUCAAUAAAUUUAUUUUUCUUAGCAAUUCACUUGAAGGGAUAGCCGCUGCGGUUAUACAAGCUAUUGAAUUGUGUGCGAGUAAUUACUCAAUAGCUUGGGCUUUAUGUCACCGAUUUCACAAUGAAAGAUCCGAGGCCCAGUCCAAAGUCCAAUAUCUGUUCGAACGUUGAGGAGCGCCCCCUUACCCCCGCGACACCAAGUGACGUGCCAGCGGGUAAUGUCACACCCUCAGUCCAACCUUCGACAUAUUUGUCUAUCAACAGUCAGGGAAAGGCAAUACAUCCGAUUUGCCUGCCGCAUCGAUUUGUGACCGCUAGUGGCUGUCCGUUCAAGGGUGCAUUACGUUAGACCUGUCAUCUCAUUCAGCCGUCAGUUCUCAGCAGCCUGCUGCCACUGCCGCCGAGACCUUCCUCAUCGGCCCGCUCAUCGCGACACCGAACAUUUUGACAACACUACAUAUGAAGGUUGAUGUUGGCUCAAAUGGCGACGGAGUUGGACAACUGCGACCAACGUCGAGCGAGCACCUUCAGUGGGACGUGCCAGCUGCCUCAAGAUGAAGACUGAUUUUGUUGAAAGACGAGCUUUCAACGCCCGGGGGCAUGUUCGCGCCGAUACGCCUUUCAAAUAAUUAUAGCAAUGCGCAUCCAUGACGUGAAGUUGCAACCACCGACAUUGCACUUGCAUUUUUGUGACCUUUAAAUUAUAAUUCAGUUCGUCUCUGUAACUUGCCCGAUUAAACGUGUUCACAUUGCAUCUGAAGUUUUACCUCAAUCUCCAAUAACCAACUACUCCGCUGCAAGACUUUCACAAUGUAUUUAAUAGUAGCAACAGAUCGGUUUGAAGAUAGAUUUUAUUUUAUUUUUGAAUGUAUAUUCUGGUAAUUAAGUGAGCAAAGUCGAUUAUGAUGCUUAAAAGAUUGAAAUCAGUGCUUGUUGAGAGGGUUCUGUAUUCGUAUGAUGAAUUUUUUCAGUGAAUUUUUUUUUGUAAAUCGCUCCUUGACCUGUAAUUUAAACACUACCAAUAAAAAAUGUAAAUAAAAAUUGUUUUGUUUUUUACUAAACCUGCCAUCUUUAUUUGCAUCAUACUGAGUCCUUAGUUAAAACUUUGAAUAACACAAAGGCUUGAUCUAUACAUCUUCUAUAUAUAUAAAAGA